rnacentral:snRNA from 1 species
AACGUUAUUUUACUUACUCCGU